rnacentral:rRNA from 1 species
GCCCAGAUGGGAUUAGCUAGUAGGUGGGGUAAUGGCUCACCUAGGCGACGAUCCCUAGCUGGUCUGAGAGGAUGACCAGCCACACUGGAACUGAGACACGGUCCAGACUCCUACGGGAGGCAGCAGUGGGGAAUAUUGCACAAUGGGCGCAAGCCUGAUGCAGCCAUGCCGCGUGUGUGAAGAAGGCCUUCGGGUUGUAAAGCACUUUCAGCGGGGAGGAAGGCGGUGAGGUUAAUAACCUCACCGAUUGACGUUACCCGCAGAAGAAGCACCGGCUAACUCCGUGCCAGCAGCCGCGGUAAUACGGAGGGUGCAAGCGUUAAUCGGAAUUACUGGGCGUAAAGCGCACGCAGGCGGUCUGUCAAGUCGGAUGUGAAAUCCCCGGGCUUAACCUGGGAACUGCAUUCGAAACUGGCAGGCUAGAGUCUUGUAGAGGGGGGGUA